rnacentral:lncRNA from 1 species
GAUUGGGCCUAAUUUUAAAAAAGUGGCCCAAAAGAAAAGCCCACAAUUUUAAAAAGAAAAAAAAAAGUACCCGUUUCAUCUUCCUUCCACCUCCAUUCUCUGGCGCUUGUGUUUCCUUCCGGCGACUGUAAAUUUCGACUAUGCUUCAAGCUUCCUCAUAUGUCAGUUCAUGCUCUCUACUUUCCUUCUUCCCUUUUCUGCUUCCUUUCCUGGUCGGCUGGUUCAGUGUAGCAGUGCAGCCACAGGCAUACUGGAGUUUUUUCUGUCAAACUCAAAAU